rnacentral:rRNA from 1 species
CCUUCAUGAAGCCGGAAUUGCUAGUAAUGGCAGGUCAGCAUACUGCCGUGAAUACGUUCCCGGGCCUUGUACACACCGCCCGUCAAGCCAUGGAAGCCGGGAGUGCCUGAAGUGUGCAACCGCAAGGAGCGCCCUAAGGUAAAACCGGUGACUGGGGCUAAGUCGUAACAAGGUACC